CUGACAUAAGUAACGAUAAAGCGGGUGAAAAGCCCGCUCGCCGGAAGACCAAGGGUUCCUGUCCAACGUUAAUCGGGGCAGGGUGAGUCGACCCCUAAGGCGAGGCCGAAAGGCGUAGUCGAUGGGAAACAGGUUAAUAUUCCUGUACUUGGUGUUACUGCGAAGGGGGGACGGAGAAGGCUAUGUUGGCCGGGCGACGGUUGUC
rnacentral:rRNA from 1 species